GGGGUUGUGGCUCAGCGGUAGAGCACUCACCUAGCAUGUGCGAGGCCCUGGGUUCCAUCCACAGCACCACA
rnacentral:tRNA from 1 species